rnacentral:rRNA from 1 species
AGAGUUUGAUCCUGGCUCAGGACGAACGCUGGCGGCGUGCCUCAAACAUGCAAGUCGAGCGGGGAACUUUUAAAAGCGCAAGCUUUUAUAAGUUCCUAGCGGCGAACGGGUGAGUAACACGUGGGCAACCUACCCAGAAGACCGGGAUAACGGCUCGAAAGGGCCGCUAAUACCGGAUAAUGUCGGGGUACCGCAUGGUACUCCGAAGAAAGGGGAAACCCGCUUUUGGAUGGGCCCGCGUCCCAUCAGCUAGUUGGUGAGGUAACGGCUCACCAAGGCGACGACGGGUAGCCGGUCUGAGAGGAUGGUCGGCCACACUGGGACUGAGACACGGCCCAGACUCCUACGGGAGGCAGCAGUUGGGAAUCUUGGGCAAUGGGCGAAAGCCUGACCCAGCGACGCCGCGUGAGGGAAGAAGGCCUUCGGGUCGUAAACCUCUGUCAUGGGGGAAGAAGCAAGUGACGGUACCCCAAGAGGAAGCCCCUGCUAACUACGUGCCAGCAGCCGCGGUAAU